AUCCUACGGGAGGCAGCAGUGGGGAAUAUUGCACAAUGGGCGCAAGCCUGAUGCAGCCAUGCCGCGUGUAUGAAGAAGGCCUUCGGGUUGUAAAGUACUUUCAGCAGUGAGGAAGGUGGGUAUGUUAAUAGCAUAUUCAUUUGACGUUAGCUGCAGAAGAAGCACCGGCUAACUCCGUGCCAGCAGCCGCGGUAAUACGGAGGGUGCGAGCGUUAAUCGGAAUUACUGGGCGUAAAGCGCAUGCAGGUGGUUUGUUAAGUCAGAUGUGAAAGCCCGGGGCUCAACCUCGGAAUUGCAUUUGAAACUGGCAAACUAGAGUACUGUAGAGGGGGUAGAAUUUCAGGUGUAGCGGUGAAAUGCGUAGAGAUCUGAAGGAAUACCGGUGGCGAAGGCGGCCCCCUGGACAGAUACUGACACUCAGAUGCGAAAGCGUGGGGAGCAAACAGGAUUAGAUACCCUGGUAA
rnacentral:rRNA from 1 species